rnacentral:rRNA from 1 species
UACGAAGGGGGCUAGCGUUGUUCGGAAUUACUGGGCGUAAAGCGUAUGCAGGCGGAUCGUUAAGUCAGGGGUGAAAUCCCGAGGCUCAACCUCGGAACUGCCUUUGAUACUGGUCGCCUGGAGUUCGGGAGAGGUAAGUGGAAUUCCGAGUGUAGAGGUGAAAUUCGUAGAUAUUCGGAAGAACACCAGUGGCGAAGGCGACUCACUGGACAAGUAUUGACGCUGAGGUGCGAAAGCGUGGGGAGCAAACAGG